rnacentral:tmRNA from 1 species
GGGGGCGACAUGGCUUCGACGUGGAUAGCGAAACUUGAUGUGCAUGCCGAGGGACAGAUUACCUCGUAAAUACAGCUGUUACACUAAUAGUUGCAAACGACGACAACUACGCUUUAGCUGCUUAAUAACCAGUUUUAAAGCCCUCUGCCUGGUGAGUGCUUAUGCUCCCAGAUCACAGGGGUCACUAACAUAAGAUCGCGAUGAAGCACGUCUGGGGUGGAUUCGCUAAAACUUACCAGACCCGCCGUAUGUGAUCCCUGCCUGUCGGGCAGCAUCCGGUUAAAUUUAAAGACAGAAUAAGCAUGUAGAGCAGAAAGCGGAGAGUUUGCGGACGCGGGUUCGAUUCCCGCCGCCUCCACCA